rnacentral:rRNA from 1 species
UACUCCUACGGGAGGCAGCAGUGAGGAAUAUUGGUCAAUGGACGGAAGUCUGAACCAGCCAAGUAGCGUGCAGGAUGACGGCCCUAUGGGUUGUAAACCGCUUUUGUAUGGGGAUAAAGUUAGGGACGUGUCCCUAUUUGCAGGUACCAUACGAAUAAGGACCGGCUAAUUCCGUGCCAGCAGCCGCGGUAAUACGGAAGGUCCAGGCGUUAUCCGGAUUUAUUGGGUUUAAAGGGAGCGUAGGCUGGAGAUUAAGUGUGUUGUGAAAUGUAGACGCUCAACGUCUGAAUUGCAGCGCAUACUGGUUUCCUUGAGUACGCACAACGUUGGCGGAAUUCGUCGUGUAGCGGUGAAAUGCUUAGAUAUGACGAAGAACUCCGAUUGCGAAGGCAGCUGACGGGAGCGCAACUGACGCUUAAGCUCGAAGGUGCGGGUAUCAAACAGGAUUAGAUACCCUGGUAGUCCGCACAGUAAACGAUGGAUGCCCGCUGUUGGUACCUGGUAUCAGCGGCUAAGCGAAAGCAUUAAGCAUCCCACCUGGGGAGUACGCCGGCAACGGUGAAACUCAAAGGAAUUGACGGA